GAAUAUUGGUCAAUGGACGAAAGUCUGAACCAGCAACGCCGCGUGAGGGAUGAAGCACCAAGGUGUGUAAACCUCUGUUAGAGGGGACGAACGAUCCCGAUUUUCGGGAUGUGACGGUACCCUCAGAGAAAGCCCCGGCCAACCCCGUCCCAGCAGCCGCGGUAAUACGGGGGGGGCGAGCGUUGUCCGGAAUUAUUGGGUGUAAAGGGCGCGUAGGCGGAUUUGUAAGUCAGUGGUGAAAUCUCGGGACUUAACUCCGAGUCUGCCGCUGAGACUGCUUUUCUUGAGUGUGGAAGAGGAAAUCGGAAUUCCCGGUGUAGCGGUGAAAUGCGUAGAUAUCGGGAAGAACACCAGUGGCGAAGGCGGAUUUCUGGUCCACAACUGACGCUGAGGCGCGAAAGCGUGGGUAGCAAACAGG
rnacentral:rRNA from 1 species